CUGGUUGAUCCUGUCAUAUUCUUGUCCCAAAGAUUAAGCCAUGCAAGUCUUAGUACACACUGUUGGUACAGUGAAACUGUGAAUGGCUCAUUCAAUCAGUUGUGGUUCCAUUGAUCGCCCCAAUGUUACUUGGAUAGCUGUGGUAAUCCUAGAGAUAAGAUAUGCCAACAAGUGUUGACCUUCAGGGACACAUGCAUUUAUCAGACCCAAAACCCAUACAGGUUGCUCUCGGGUGCCCUGGACGCUUUUGGUGAAGCUUUGUGCCACUGGCGUCUCAUUCUAAUGUCUGCCCUGUUAACUUUCGAUGGUAGUCUCUGUGCUUACCAUGGUGACCACGGGUAACGGGGGAAUCAGGGUUUGAUUCCGGAGAGGGAACCUGAGAAACGGCUACCACAUCCAAGGAAGGCAGCAGGCAUGCAAAUUACCCACUCCCGACUCGGGUAGGUAGUGACGAAAAAUAACUCUUUCACGGCCCUGUAAUUGGAAUGAAUACACUUUAAAUCCUUUAACGAGGAUCCAUUACUGAUGCUUACAAGCAUU
rnacentral:ncRNA from 1 species